AUGAAAAGGAUCUUUUGGCUCCUUGAACGCUCCUCAGAUUAUAUAAUUUUGAAAAAAAAAUGUUUUGCUUGAGGGUGGCACAGUAGUCGAACUGGUUUGCAUGUCCAACCCACAGUAUAGAAGUCCAGAGUUUGAUUCCAGCUCCGGCCUUCCUGUGUGGAAUUUGCAUGUUCUCCUCGUGCCUGCGUGGGUUUUCUCCAAGCCCAGUUUCCAGGAAUUCAUCCCGAGGAUGUGUUACUUUCUGAUCUCAACAAAACAAUGCCUUGAUCCUUAACCUAUUCACAAUGCACAGCCACUCCACUACAGUAGAUUCGUUCUUUAUUAGUGGUACUACUGAGGCCUGUUGCAAGAAUCCCUUCUGACAAGUAGAACACAACAUUGGACUCUAUUUUCGUAGAUGGCGCAUCUGCGUGGUGGCACGAAUGCUGCAAUCCUGAUUUUCAUAUCAGCGCAAAGAUUGCUGCGUGUGUUUACCAAUUUGCCAAGCCCUAAAAUGAAGAAAUCCCUAUUGGAAAAAUGUCUACUGUGAUCUAUCAUUUUUCAUAACUACAUGCUUUUUGUGCAAAGAUUAAAAUCUCAUAUUUUGUCUUA